rnacentral:rRNA from 2 species
AAAUUGAAGAGUUUGAUCAUGGCUCAGAUUGAACGCUGGCGGCAGGCCUAACACAUGCAAGUCGAACGGUAACAGGAAGCAGCUUGCUGCUUUGCUGACGAGUGGCGGACGGGUGAGUAAUGUCUGGGAAACUGCCUGAUGGAGGGGGAUAACUACUGGAAACGGUGGCUAAUACCGCAUAACGUCGCAAGACCAAAGAGGGGGACCUUCGGGCCUCUUGCCAUCAGAUGUGCCCAGAUGGGAUUAGCUUGUUGGUGAGGUAACGGCUCACCAAGGCGACGAUCCCUAGCUGGUCUGAGAGGAUGACCAGCCACACUGGAACUGAGACACGGUCCAGACUCCUACGGGAGGCAGCAGUGGGGAAUAUUGCACAAUGGGCGCAAGCCUGAUGCAGCCAUGCCGCGUGUAUGAAGAAGGCCUUCGGGUUGUAAAGUACUUUCAGCGGGGAGGAAGGUGUUGUGGUUAAUAACCGCAGCAAUUGACGUUACCCGCAGAAGAAGCACCGGCUAACUCCGUGCCAGCAGCCGCGGUAAUACGGAGGGUGCAAGCGUUAAUCGGAAUUACUGGGCGUAAAGCGCACGCAGGCGGUCUGUCAAGUCGGAUGUGAAAUCCCCGGGCUCAACCUGGGAACUGCAUUCGAAACUGGCAGGCUUGAGUCUUGUAGAGGGGGGUAGAAUUCCAGGUGUAGCGGUGAAAUGCGUAGAGAUCUGGAGGAAUACCGGUGGCGAAGGCGGCCCCCUGGACAAAGACUGACGCUCAGGUGCGAAAGCGUGGGGAGCAAACAGGAUUAGAUACCCUGGUAGUCCACGCCGUAAACGAUGUCUACUUGGAGGUUGUGCCCUUGAGGCGUGGCUUCCGGAGCUAACGCGUUAAGUAGACCGCCUGGGGAGUACGGCCGCAAGGUUAAAACUCAAAUGAAUUGACGGGGGCCCGCACAAGCGGUGGAGCAUGUGGUUUAAUUCGAUGCAACGCGAAGAACCUUACCUGGUCUUGACAUCCACGGAAGAAUUCAGAGAUGGAUGUGCCUUCGGGAACCGUGAGACAGGUGCUGCAUGGCUGUCGUCAGCUCGUGUUGUGAAAUGUUGGGUUAAGUCCCGCAACGAGCGCAACCCUUAUCCUUUGUUGCCAGCGAUUCGGUCGGGAACUCAAAGGAGACUGCCAGUGAUAAACUGGAGGAAGGUGGGGAUGACGUCAAGUCAUCAUGGCCCUUACGACCAGGGCUACACACGUGCUACAAUGGCGCAUACAAAGAGAAGCGACCUCGCGAGAGCAAGCGGACCUCAUAAAGUGCGUCGUAGUCCGGAUUGGAGUCUGCAACUCGACUCCAUGAAGUCGGAAUCGCUAGUAAUCGUGGAUCAGAAUGCCACGGUGAAUACGUUCCCGGGCCUUGUACACACCGCCCGUCACACCAUGGGAGUGGGUUGCAAAAGAAGUAGGUAGCUUAACCUUCGGGAGGGCGCUUACCACUUUGUGAUUCAUGACUGGGGUGAAGUCGUAACAAGGUAACCGUAGGGGAACCUGCGGUUGGAUCACCUCCUUACCUUAAAGAA